AAACCACUGUCAUUUCACCUUCAAAGACAAAACCCCCAAGUCAAAAUUUUGAGAACCCAUUUCAAGCUAUGGUUCAAAAAACCCAAAACAAUCAUUCUGUGUGUUACUUUCUCUCUGAAACAAAAAUCAUACACAUUUGUAUUUGCAUAAAACUCCAAAUUGUAUUCAAGAAAUACAAAUCUCACCAUACUUUAUUUGUCUAAACCCUAAUCAAACGAUUGCUCAUCGUCUUCUUCUUUCUUUUAAAUUCUACUAACAAGAUUACAGGUAUGUGUUAGGUAUUUGAUGUUUAUUUAUGUCUUCUGCUUUGUGAAUCGAAUAUAUUAAUGUUAUUUUUUGAUUUUGUUUUGUAUUAUGUAAACCUUAACCAACCGAUUAUCAUCUUCUUGAUUCGACUAACAAGAAAGAUCACAGGCGAGGAGGAGUUUCAAGCUUUGAGGGGUCUCGUGAGGCUGCACGGAGCGAUGAGAGUCCAAACGCAGAUUCAGCCAUGAAGAAUACAAAUGUUGAAAAACCAAGCACUUAGACAUGACUUUGACUUUUUCACAUAGGUCCUUCAUUUGUAGGUAGGUACCCAUAACAGUCCUUCGUUUGGCAUCAUGAUCAAUGUAAAUCUCUCUUUUAUUUUUUCUUUAUCUACAUAACUAGAUGUUUGUCUA